CCUACGGGAGGCAGCAGUGAGGAAUAUUGGUCAAUGGGCGCGAGCCUGAACCAGCCAAGUAGCGUGAAGGAUGACUGCCCUACGGGUUGUAAACUUCUUUUAUCAAGGAAUAAAGUGAGGCACGUGUGCCUUUUUGUAUGUACUUUAUGAAUAAGGAUCGGCUAAAUCCGGGCCAGCAGCCGCGGUAAUACGGAGGAUCCGGGCGUUAGCCGGAUUUAUUGGGGUUAAAGGGGGCGUAGAUGGGUUGGUAAGUCAGUUGUGAAAGUUUGCGGCUCAACCGUAAAAUUGCCAUUGAUACUGGCAGCCGUGAGUACAGUUGAGGUAGGCGGAAUUCGUGGUGUAGCGGUGAAAUGCGUAGAUAUCACGAAGAACUCCGAUUGCGAAGGCAGCUUACUAAACUGCCACUGACAUUGAGGCUCGAAAGUGUGGGGAUCAAACAGGAUUAGAUACCCGAGUAGUC
rnacentral:rRNA from 1 species